UACGGAGGAUCCAAGCGUUAUCCGGAUUUAUUGGGUUUAAAGGGUGCGUAGGCGGCCUGUUAAGUCAGGGGUGAAAGACGGUAGCUCAACUAUCGCAGUGCCCUUGAUACUGACGGGCUUGAAUACACUAGAGGUAGGCGGAAUGUGACAAGUAGCGGUGAAAUGCAUAGAUAUGUCACAGAACACCGAUUGCGAAGGCAGCUUACUAUGGUGUGAUUGACGCUGAGGCACGAAAGCGUGGGGAGCGAACAGG
rnacentral:rRNA from 1 species